GCCGUGCCGUGCCGUGCCGUGCCGUGCCGGGGAAAGAGCAGGCUGAGCGGGGGCGCUCCAGGCUGGCAACUCCCCACGCUGUAGGGCCUGGUCCAAGGCCUAUAGAGGUACUGGGAGACAGAGGAAGGCAACAGAUUUUAGAUGUGAGUUGAUGCCUGAGUCUCAGUAAAGUUGAGCGGAGGAGAUGGGAGAGCUUGGACUGAUGUAUAAACCCAUAUACAAAUCCCUGUGAAAGUUUUUCUUUCAGCUGAGGCUGGAGAAAAAUGUUCUACUUCAGAGAAUUUCAUGAAGAAUGCCUACUAUCGUGAUAGCCACAACUACUGAAGUAUUUAAAUCAUCCCUGUAAUUUAGAUCACUCAAAAUUAUUGAUAUGUUCUCACGUCCUUAA